CGUGAACCUUUACUAUAGCUUGACACUGAACAUUGAGCCUUGAUGUGUAGGAUAGGUGGGAGGCUUAGAAGUGUGGACGCCAGUCUGCAUGGAGCCGACCUUGAAAUACCACCCUUUAAUGUUUGAUGUUCUAACGUUGACCCGUAAUCCGGGUUGCGGACAGUGUCUGGUGGGUAGUUUGACUGGGGCGGUCUCCUCCUAAAGAGUAACGGAGGAGCACGAAGGUUGGCUAAUCCUGGUCGGACAUCAGGAGGUUAGUGCAAUGGCAUAAGCCAGCUUGACUGCGAGCGUGACGGCGCGAGCAGGUGCGAAAGCAGGUCAUAGUGAUCCGGUGGUUCUGAAUGGAAGGGCCAUCGCUCAACGGAUAAAAGGUACUCCGGGGAUAACAGGCUGAUACCGCCCAAGAGUUCAUAUCGACGGCGGUGUUUGGCACCUCGAUGUCGGCUCAUCACAUCCUGGGGCUGAAGUAGGUCCCAAGGGUAUGGCUGUUCGCCAUUUAAAGUGGUACGCGAGCUGGGUUUAGAACGUCGUGAGACAGUUCGGUCCCUAUCUGCCGUGGGCGCUGGAGAACUGAGGGGGGCUGCUCCUAGUACGAGAGGACCGGAGUGGACGCAUCACUGGUGUUCGGGUUGUCAUGCCAAUGGCACUGCCCGGUAGCUAAAUGCGGAAGAGAUAAGUGCUGAAAGCAUCUAAGCACGAAACUUGCCCCGAGAUGAGUUCUCCCUGACUCCUUGAGAGUCCUGAAGGAACGUUGAAGACGACGACGUUGAUAGGCCGGGUGUGUAAGCGCAGCGAUGCGUUGAGCUAACCGGUACUAAUGAACCGUGAGGCUUAACCUUACAACGCCGAAG
rnacentral:rRNA from 1 species